rnacentral:rRNA from 1 species
UACGUAGGGGGCAAGCGUUGUCCGGAAUCAUUGGGCGUAAAGAGCGUGUAGGCGGCCUGAUAAGUCGGCUGUGAAAGUCAAGGGCUCAACCCUUGAAUGCCGGCCGAUACUGUCAGGCUAGAGUCCGGAAGAGGCGAGUGGAAUUCCUGGUGUAGCGGUGAAAUGCGCAGAUAUCAGGAGGAACACCAAUUGCGAAGGCAGCUCGCUGGAACGUAACUGACGCUGAGACGCGAAAGCGUGGGGGAGCAAACAGG